rnacentral:rRNA from 1 species
AUCGGGCCAGAGGGGGGUAUACAGAGGUCGUACCGAUAGUCAAAGCCAGUUAUUACGUACUGAAUGACCUCACGGUACUGCUCGGAUUGCAUGGGGUGAUACGCUGCGAUUUGGUACGGUAGUCUAAUCGAGACCGAUGAGCACGUACAUCUACUGACGUAAGGCUGAGUUCGUAUCGAACGAUAGAACUGUAUUCCGCACGUACGGAUGGAUGCCCGCUGUGCGAUACAAUUUCAGCGGCCAAGCGAAAGCGUUAAGCCAUCCCCCCUUGGGGAAUUACGCCGCCACCGGUGGAAGCGCGCAAGGAAUUGACGGGGCCCGCACAAGCGGGAGGAACAUGUGGUUUAAAUAGAUAGUAAACCGCGAAGACCUUACCCGGGCUUGAACUGCCAGCGGACGAUUCGAGGUGUGUGGCGCCUUCGGGGCGCUUGUGGAGGUGCUGCAUGGUGUCGUCAGCUCGUGCCGUGGAGGUGUCGGCUUAAGUGCCAUAACCGAGCGCAACCCCUUUCGCCCAGUUGCCAUCAGGUGAUGCUGGGCACUCUGGCGACACUGCCACCGCAAGGUGUGAGGAAGGUGGGGAUGACGUCAAAUCAGCACGGCCCUUACGUCCGGGGCUACACACGUGUUACAAUGGGAUAUACAGAGGGAAGCGAGCAGGUGACUGUAAGCGAAUCUCAGAAAGUAUUUCGUAGUCCGGAUUGAAGUCUGCAACUCGACUUCAUGAAGUUGGAAUCGCUAGUAAUCGCAAAUCAGAAUGGUGGGGGAGAAUACGUUCCCGGGCCUUGUACACACCGCCCGUCACACCAUGGGAGUGGAUUGCACCAGAAGUAGCCAGCUAAC